AGGACGAACGCUGGCGGCGCGCUUAACACAUGCAAGUCGAGCGAGAACCAGUCCUUCGGGACUGGGGACAGCGGCGAACGGGUGAGUAACACGUGGGUAAUCUGCCCUCGAUUCUGGGAUAGCCCGGGGAAACCCGGAUUAAUACCGGAUAGCCUCUCGAGCUUUCGAGCUCGUGAGAAAAGGUAGCUUCGGCCUCCGAUCGAGGAUGAGCCCGCGGCGGAUUAGCUUGUUGGUGGGGUAAUGGCCUACCAAGGCUACGAUCCGUAGCUGGUCUGAGAGGACGAUCAGCCACACUGGGACUGAGACACGGCCCAGACUCCUACGGGAGGCAGCAGUGGGGAAUCUUGCGCAAUGGGACGAAAGCCUGACGCAGCGACGCCGCGGUGGGGGAAGAAGGCCUGGUGUAACCUCUUCAGCAGGACGAAGACCACUACGGUUAAGUAGCCCACGAGGUGACGGUACCUGCGAGAAGAAGACCCGGACCUAACCGUAACGUGACCGAGACACGCCGA
rnacentral:rRNA from 1 species